AAAAAUCAUGUUUAGCAUGUCUGUUCACUGUCUCUCAUAUGUCAUCUGCUAGGAAAGACUAUCCCCAAGAGCAAACAUUAAUUGAUUUUAAUUCUUUCUCUCCACUCGGUUCUAAUAGCAUGAAACAGCUCUGCAAGAAUUGGCUGAUGAUGUUGGUUGAAGGAAGAGCAGGUGUAUGACCAUUUCAGUUGCUGCUCAUUUCCCCUACUUAUGCCAGGAGCACAUGGCUUAACAUUUGAAGGGAAGCAGAGACUGAUACCACUGCCAACAAGAAAUUAAAUGAAAUCUGAACAGGAUAAAUCCUGCUGCUACAGUUGGUGAUGUAUGACAGAGAAAGGAGCUCUCAAGGCUUCAGUUGCUCCUUACUAGUUCUCUCUACCUGCCUGCCUCUGCUGAAGAGCAGCACCAGAGAAACAGCUUUUCUUCCUCCAGGAUUCUGCUGGGAAUAAUGGGAGACACCACAAUGGAUAAAAAUCAAGCCCCACAUAGAUAAUUUACUACAACUGCCCAUCAUCAUAAUUUCUGUCUUAGGGUAUAUCUGCCCUGAAA